rnacentral:rRNA from 1 species
CCUACGUGAGGCAGCAGUAGGGAAUCUUCCACAAUGGGCGAAAGCCUGAUGGAGCAACGCCGCGUGGGUGAAGAAGGUCUUCGGAUCGUAAAACCCUGUUGUUAGAGAAGAAAGUGCGUGCGAGUAACUGUUCACGUUUCGACGGUAUCUAACCAGACAGCCACGGCUAACUACGUGCCAGCAGCCGCGGUAAUCCGUAGGUGGCAAGCGUUAUCCGGAUUUAUUGGGCGUAAAGGGAACGCAGGCGGUCUUUUAAGUCUGAUGUGAAAGCCUUCGCCUUAACCGGAGUAGUGCAUUGGAAACUGGGAGACUUGAGUGCAGAAGAGUAGAGUGGAACUCCAGGUGUAGCGGUGAAAUGCGUAGAUAUAUGGAAGAACACCAGUGGCGAAAGCGGCUCUCUGGUCUGUAACUGACGCUGAGGUUCGAAAGCGUGGGUAGCAAACAGGAUUAGAUACCCGGGUAGUC